AGCGAAUAUAUCCCAGCAUUCAUUUCGGCAUUCAAGCGAGGAGCGGAAAAUUACUCGACGCCAUUGAACAACGACAGAGAACACUUCGGGUCAAAACUGGUCAAAGUGAAAGUUUGACCAAGAGGAACAAGAUGGAUAUCAAUACAAUUGCAUAAAGUAUUGGCAGGGAUCCCGGUAUCGGAAGGUCAGAUGGAGAUUGGCGCUGGUGUUCCGGUUGAUCUCCCACAUUCCAAUGCCUCUCUGUUCCGGAAUGAAAGGAAAGAACAUAUCAGAACGUCCCCAGUGUAACGGAGACGAGAUAAAAAGUGUGUAUAGAGUUUCUGAUAACACUCUGGGGAGGAAGCAAGAGAGAGGCGUGUAGCCCAGAGACAAUGCAAUCCUGUGCUGCAGCGUCUGGAAACUCUCACUCAUGAACUUUGAGUUUGUUUUAUCUCUUUGCUUUAGGUUGACGACAUUAAUUGUUUUGGGGAAAACAAAAAAGUAAAUGUUUCCCUUUUUCAGGCUGUGAUGUGUGGAGAAGAGCAGAGUUAAGGCGGUAAUGACAAGGAUUGGAGAGUAAUGGGAUUAUGUAAUCAGGAUACAAAAAGUAACUGCAUUCCCCUUCCAGA